CAGCCGCCGCGGUAAUACGAAGGGAGCUAGCGUUGUUCGGAUUUACUGGGCGUAAAGCGCACGUAGGCGGACUUUAAGUCAGGGGUGAAAUCCCGGGGCUCAACCCCGGAACUGCCUUUGAUACUGGGAGUCCUGAGUUCGAGAGAGGUGAGUGGAAUUGCGAGUGUAGAGGUGAAAUUCGUAGAUAUUCGCAGGAACACCAGUGGCGAAGGCGGCUCACUGGCUCGAUACUGACGCUGAGGUGCGAAAGCGUGGGGAGCAAACAGGAUUAGAUACCCCCGUAGUCCCUGUUUCUUAUACA
rnacentral:rRNA from 1 species